UACGAAGGUGGCAAGCGUUACUCGGAAUUACUAGGCGUAAAGGGCAGGUAGGUGGUUUGAUAAGUCUGUUGUGUAAGCUCCCGGCUUAACUGGGAGAGGUCAACAGAUACUGUCGGGCUUGAGUAUGGGAGAGGUUACUGGAAUUCCCGGUGUAGCGGUGAAAUGCGCAGAUAUCGGGAGGAACACCAAUGGCGAAAGCAGGUAACUGGACCAUUACUGACACUCAGCUGCGAAAGCUAGGGGAG
rnacentral:rRNA from 1 species